rnacentral:rRNA from 1 species
GCAUUAAGCACCCCGCCUGAGGAGUACGGCCGCAAGGCUAAAACUUAAAGGAAUUGACGGGGACCCGCACAAGCGGUGGAGCAUGUGGUUUAAUUCGAAGAUACGCGAAAAACCUUACCAGGUCUUGACAUACCAAUGAUCGCUUUUGUAAUGAAAGCUUUUCUUCGGAACAUUGGAUACAGGUGGUGCAUGGUCGUCGUCAGCUCGUGUCGUGAGAUGUUGGGUUAAGUCCCGCAACGAGCGCAACCCUUGUUAUUAGUUGCCAGCAUUUAGUUGGGCACUCUAAUGAGACUGCCGGUGAUAAACCGGAGGAAGGUGGGGACGACGUCAGAUCAUCAUGCCCCUUAUGACCUGGGCAACACACGUGCUACAAUGGGAAGUACAACGAGUCGCAAACCGGCGACGGUAAGCUAAUCUCUUAAAACUUCUCUCAGUUCGGACUGGAGUCUGCAACUCGACUCCACGAAGGCGGAAUCGCUAGUAAUCGCGAAUCAGCAUGUCGCGGUGAAUACGUUCCCGGGUCUUGUACACACCGCCCGUCAAAUCAUGGGAGUCGGAAGUACCCAAAGUCGCUUGGCUAACUUUUAGAGGCCGGUGCCUAAGGUAAAAUCGAUGACUGGGAUUAAGUCGUAACAAGGUAGCCGUAGGAGAACCUGCGGCUGGAUCACCUCCUUUCUAAGGA